UGGCCUGAGCGCAGCAGCAACAGCCGGGUCUGCGCUGGGGAGCCCUGCGCUUGGGGGGUAACCCGAGCCCUCAAAGCCCUUGAAGCUGCGGAGGUGGCUUAGCCUCAGUGUUUUGGCUGAGAACACCCUUAAAGCUUAAAAUAAAACCUGCCUGUGGGGUGUGGGGGGAGGACCGAGGCAUACUCGCAUCAGCAGCCCUCCCCCCUCUGGUCUGGGGAAUAGGAUGCUGAGGGCUUGGACCAGAGGAACCGAGGGACUGGAUUCUCCCCCCCACCUCAGAUGUUCCAGAUCCCCUGACCCACACCCCAGCAGGCCCCCAGAUACCCUUCCACACUUACGAAGGAAAUGCAGGCGGCCAGAAGAAGGAUCCGCACAAGGAGCAGGGAGCUCUACCAAGGGAAAAAGAAGAAAAGGACACAUUCAUUUGGGGCUCGGUCUAAUGCCCCCCACACCCAGGAUUCUGUGGCUAAGGGGGGGAAGUCUUAACUGGAGAACUCAGAGCAAGAGGUGUCAAGAAGGGUCUUCUGAGGCUGCCGACUCGGCUGUUCACUGUCCAGUCCCGUUAAGAGCACUUGGCUGGAAACCCCGAGAAGCACUAUUUGGCUCUCCACUUACCGCUCAGCAGACAGCGCAGCCCACAGGGGACCAACGAGCCGAGAGCACUGGGCUAGAGGGCAACCGGGACUUGAACUGACCCAGCCUUCUGGCCUCUCCGCUCUGGAGUGGGCGACGUCACCCCGAGCGGGCUGCUUUCCUGCCCCACCUGCCCUGGUCCCCGCUGCACACAGUGGCCAGAGCCAUCAUGAUGGAAUGGAGAUAAACCCUUUUAUUUAUU